CCCCCACCCCCACCCCCGCCUCCGAUCGAGUUCCGGAAGCAGAAUUCCGACAUCACAAGGGCAGUAAUUUUUAGACUCCUCACUCAUGUUAAGAAGCAACCGGAGAACGUGCUAAGCUCCUACUUCCCCCAGAAGACUGCCUGUCACGGCCCAUCACGCCGCCGACCUUUUCUUAGGCCUCACACUUGGAAGCGUUCGCUCUCAACUCACCCCUUAGAUGCAAGUUCCAUCCAGAUGAGCUGUCACCAGCCCUCACUUUCUGUAGCCCUGGGUUCCAGCCCUCCUGAAGGUUCAGCAGCCGCAUAACCUGGGUCCUUGGGGACCGUGUUUUCGACUCGGCCCUGCCAGUGUCUGGUCCACCUGCUUUCCUUCUCACUGCAGAUUAAGAAGGUGACGUUUGGGGGCUCCUGGGUGGCUCAGUCAUUAAGCAUCUGACUUCAGCUCAGGUUUGUGAGUUUGAGCCCCACUCGGGGUAAAAAACCGCGAGACCUGCUUUGGGUGAGCCCCAUUUCCCUCUCCCUCUCUCUCUCUCUCUCUCUCUCUCUCUCUCUCUGCCCUUGACUCACUUGCACCAUCCCUGUCUCAAAAAAUAAAAAUAAAA